rnacentral:rRNA from 1 species
AUACGGAGGGUGCAAGCGUUAUUCGGAAUCACUGGGCGUAAAGGACGCGUAGGCGGGUUGGCAAGUCAGAUGUGAAAUCCUACAGCUUAACUGUAGAACUGCAUUUGAAACUGCUAACCUAGAGUAUGGGAGGGGGAGAUGGAAUUAGUGGUGUAGGGGUAAAAUCCGCAGAUAUCACUAGGAAUACCGAAAGCGAAGGCGAUCUCCUGGAACAUAACUGACGCUAAGGCGUGAAAGCGUGGGGAGCAAACGGGAUUAGAAACCCUAGUAGUCC